UACGGAGGGUGCGAGCGUUGUCCGGAAUCAUUGGGCGUAAAGGGCGCGUAGGUGGCCCGGUCAGUCUUUGGUGAAAGCGCGGGGCUCAACCCUGCGUCGGCCAGGGAUACUGCCGCGGCUGGAGCACUGUAGAGGCAGGCGGAAUUCCGGGUGUAGCGGUGGAAUGCGUAGAGAUCCGGAAGAACACCGGUGGCGAAGGCGGCAUCCUGGACCAAUAUUGACGCUGAGGAGCGAAAGCUAGGGGAGCAAACGGGG
rnacentral:rRNA from 1 species